rfam:Oryza barthii chromosome 9, whole genome shotgun sequence.
AAUAAAUAUAGUUUUACAUGGUUUUCGUCUUAUUUGAAUUUUUUUAUUAUUAGUAUUUUAUUGCUAUUAGAUGAUAAAACAUGAAUAGUACUUUAUGUGCGACUAAAUAUUUUUAUUUUUUUCACAAAUUUUUCAAAUAAGAUGGACAGUCAAACGUUGGACACGGAUAUCCACGGCUGCACUUAUU